rnacentral:rRNA from 1 species
UAGGGAAUCUUCGGCAAUGGACGAAAGUCUGACCGAGCAACGCCGCGCGAGUGAAGAAGGGUUUCGGAGCGUAAAACUCUGUUGUUAGAGAAGAACAAGGACGUUAGUAACUGAACGUCCCCUGACGGUAUCUAACCAGAAAGCCACGGCUAACUACGUGCCAGCAGCCGCGGUAAUACGUAGGUGGCAAGCGUUGUCCGGAUUUAUUGGGCGGAAAGCGAGCGCAGGCGGUUUCUUAAGUCUGAUGUGAAAGCCCCCGGCUCAACCGGGGAGGGUAUUUGGAAACUGGGAGUCUUGAGUGCAGAAGGGGAGCGUGAAAUUCCAUGUGUAGCGGUGAAAUGCGUAGAUAUAUUGUGGAACACCUGUGGCGAAGGCGGCUCUCUGGUCUGUCACUGACGCUGAGGCUCGAAAGCGUGGGGCGCAAACAGG